rnacentral:misc_RNA from 1 species
AACAAGUGAAAGAAUGGAAAAAUGUGUAUGCGUUACCAAAAGUAACUUGUUUAGUUGUCAUUAUCAUCCACACAGUAUAGGUGCAAUCCAUUUUGAGUGAAAGCACCCAUCUGAUUUAAAAACGCAAAAAAUUUGGGGAAGUAACUUUAGUAAAUAAAGUUGCACUCUAACAUCUUCUGCUGAAACAUAAAUAUGUAUACUCAGAAGCAGAUAAGUAAGAUCACCAGUAAGGCAAAA